rnacentral:rRNA from 1 species
UGCCUAACACAUGCAAGUCGAACGGAACUGUUUUGAAAGAUUUCUUCGGAAUGAAUUUGAUUUAGUUUAGUGGCGGACGGGUGAGUAACGCGUGAGUAACCUGCCUUCAAGAGGGGGAUAACAUUCUGAAAAGAAUGCUAAUACCGCAUGACAUAUCGGAAUCACAUGAUUUUGAUAUCAAAGAUUUUAUCGCUUGAAGAUGGACUCGCGUCCGAUUAGUUAGUUGGUGAGGUAACGGCUCACCAAGACCGCGAUCGGUAGCCGGACUGAGAGGUUGAACGGCCACAUUGGGACUGAGACACGGCCCAGACUCCUACGGGAGGCAGCAGUGGGGGAUAUUGCGCAAUGGGGGCAACCCUGACGCAGCAACGCCGCGUGAAGGAUGAAGGUUUUCGGAUUGUAAACUUCUUUUAUUAAGGACGAAACUUGACGGUACUUAAUGAAUAAGCUCCGGCUAACUACGUGCCAGCAGCCGCGGUAAUACGUAGGGAGCAAGCGUUGUCCGGAUUUACUGGGUGUAAAGGGUGCGUAGGCGGCUUUGCAAGUCAGAUGUGAAAUCUAUGGGCUCAACCCAUAAACUGCAUUUGAAACUGUAGAGCUUGAGUGAAGUAGAGGCAGGCGGAAUUCCCCGUGUAGCGGUGAAAUGCGUAGAGAUGGGGAGGAACACCAGUGGCGAAGGCGGCCUACUG